rnacentral:rRNA from 1 species
UACGUAGGCAGCGAGCGUUGUUCGGAGUUACUGGGCGUAAAGGGUGCGUAGGCGGUUGUUUAAGUUUGGUGUGAAAUCUCCCGGCUCAACUGGGAGGGUGCGCCGAAUACUGAAUGACUAGAGUGCGGGAGAGGAUAGUGGAAUUCCUGGUGUAGCGGUGAAAUGCGUAGAUAUCAGUCGGAACACCGGUGGCGAAGGCGGCUUCUUGGGCCCUACCUGACGCUGGAGGUGCG